rnacentral:lncRNA from 10 species
CAACACCCAAGCUUGAGACUUCUAUGUAUUAACACAAACCCUAUAUUAGUGCAUUCUAGAUUAAUGACAUUUUAUAUAUUGAUUUAUUUCUUUAUUUAAUAACCAUAGUGCUGUUUUCUAAGCAUUGUACUGGGACUAAAAUGGUCUCAUUUCAGGAAAACAAGAUCCAGUUGCUUCUUUCAAGUUUAUAAUUCAGUAAUUCUACUUAUGCUUUACUCCUUUUCUCUUUGCAUCUGAAAGCUGAUAUAAGUCUUUUGAGGUACAGCCUGGCACAAAAAGGAUGAGAUUUGUGGGCAGAAUUUUGGAAGAAUAUCUCCCGAGAGAACAUUCAGGACAGAGCCCUACAUCUCCCCGAGAAGAGGUGAAAGAGACUGCUCCUAUCUGCUUCUGCAUCAAACUUCAGGCUCAAGACCUGUCCAGAAAAAAAAAUGUCUUCUUUCAGGGAUGAACUGCUGUCCUCAUCAGACGCCUUAUUUUGUUUAGAAUUCAAGCUCACUUGACAGGUUAUUGUGAAGAUUAAAUGAAUUAAUACAUGUGAAGCAACUGUAACAACUCUUGACAUGCGUGGGCUGGACUUCCAGAAGAAACGUUGUCAGAACUCUGCCCAACUGAAAACAA